CAGGGAAGAAGCGAAAGUGACGGUACCUGCAGAGGAAGCGCCGGCUAACUACGUGCCAGCAGCCGCGGUAAUACGUAGGGCGCAAGCGUUGUCCGGAAUUAUUGGGCGUAAAGAGCUUGUAGGCGGCUUGUCGCGUCUGCUGUGAAAACCCGGGGCUUAACCCCGGGCUUGCAGUGGGUACGGGCAGGCUAGAGUGUGGUAGGGGAGACUGGAAUUCCUGGUGUAGCGGUGGAAUGCGCAGAUAUCAGGAGGAACACCGAUGGCGAAGGCAGGUCUCUGGGCCAUUACUGACGCUGAGAAGCGAAAGCGUGGGGAGCGAACAGGAUUAGAUACCCUGGUAGUCCACGCCGUAAACGUUGGGCGCUAGGUGUGGGUCCCAUUCCACGGGGUCCGUGCCGCAGCUAACGCAUUAAGCGCCCCGCCUGGGGAGUACGGCCGCAAGGCUAAAACUCAAAGGAAUUGACGGGGGCCCGCACAAGCGGCGGAGCAUGCGGAUUAAUUCGAUGCAACGCGAAGAACCUUACCAAGGCUUGACAUGUACCGGUAACCCUCGGAGACGGGGGCCCCGCAAGGUCGGUACACAGGUGGUGCAUGGUUGUCGUCAGCUCGUGUCGUGAGAU
rnacentral:rRNA from 1 species